AAAUACUCUAGAAGCCGCUCCGGUUCCGGAACAGGACGGAACGUCUGAUGAAUCGCUAUCGAUUACAAUCGUUUGAUGCGGCAUCACUUCGUCUUCUUCAUCCAAUUCUAUUGGGGCUGGCUCAUUCUCGUCCCAUUCACGCUGGGUCCGCUAUUACUCUUCCCAUUCACGCUCAGCCAAUUCUCUCUCGACCCUCUCGCUCUCCAAUAUUUAUCCAAUAUUACUCUCCAAUUUAUCUUAUUCGUUCGUAUCUUAUUCGUAUUUCAUUAGUCAUUACCAUACCUUCAUUUUAUGUUAGGUAUCACAAAAUACUCCUGAUCGCCUUCUGUCUUCGAGUCAUCUCUUUUAUUUUGCGCCAUGCUUACGCUAACAUUGGCAAGGAUCGGGUUGUUAAGGCCCUAUCGCAAUGACAUCGGGGCCUUGUUUAUAGGUACAUCAUGGACUGUGGUAUCGUCAAGUGCAAUAACGCUCAAGUAUGGUGGAUGUACCUUCUAUAAGGAUAUAGAAAGUAUUCCGCCGGUUCCAUUCACAUCCUGGCACCCCAAGCUUUCGGCUUGGGAUUUCAAGAGAUCUAGACUGUUUUGCGAUGCGGUGUUUGGUAACAAUAUCCUACUUUCCGGGAGUCAUCAAACUCGAGCCUCUCAGGGACAAGGCGGCCCUGAGGGGCCCUGGAAUGCCGCUAGAAAAUGAGGCCCCUUGGUGAAUGUUGUCAGUAUCAUAGUUACUGUAUUGUUCUAAAUGGUGACACCGUUAAAAGUAAUCUACGAAAUUUAAUUAAGCAUAAAGGAAAUGAUGACCUUGCUUGAACUGUGGAUGUUUCGAAAAAUGUUGGUGCUCCAAUUGGUGGAAAAAGAAAAAUGGCUUUAGUUUCCCAGCAAACAGCAGCCCGGCAUCAGCAGCCAGCACCGCCGAUUCAUCGUCAAAAUCCCCAAACAACAACAACAACUCGUCUUCUUCUUCAACAGCAGCCACAACAACAACCUCAAAUGCUUCAAUGACAUCCAGCAGUAGUUGCCCGGCUAGUUGCACCCAGUGCGAUCACAUGACGUGAACCACCGCCAAUCAUUUCACGUCCAAACUUCCAGCAGCGGCCUAGGCCUGACGAGUUCGACGGCGGCGCGGUCUUCGAGUUUGGCGAUGAGGACGUCGACGUCGUAAACCAUCGUAACGCUGGCUUCGACUUGACUCUGCUGGUAUACGUACGUGAUGCAAAGUACGUGAAAAAAUUGUCAGACAAACGUACUAAAAGGCAGCGUACAACGGUCAUGUUUCCUGAAAGCGAAUCUUACGCAGACCGAGGAAUACAUGAGGUUUACGCCUUUAUAUUCAUAUGAUACAAGAAAUCACAAUCGCAACGAAAUGCUACGUUUGAUGAAUAUUACUUAUCAAAUCCGACGCGAUUUUUAUUGCGUGCAUUUAUUUUUUAUUUUUACGCGAGAUUGCCCGCUAUUAGC